rnacentral:rRNA from 1 species
UGCAGUCGUGCGAGAGUUUCCUUCGGGGAACGGACAGCGGCGAAAGGGAGAGUAAUACGUAGAAAUCUGCCCCCUGGUCUGGGAUAGCGUUGGGAAACUGGCGGUAAUACCGGAUAAUGUCUUCGGACCAAAGGUGUGAUUCCGCCGGGGGAUGAGUCUACGACCUAUUAGCUAGUUGGCGGGGUAAUGGCCCACCAAGGCGAUGAUGGGUAGCGGGUGUGAGAGCAUGACCCGCCUCACUGGGACUGAAACACUGCCCAGAAUCUACGGAUGGCUGCAGUCGAAAAUCUUUGUCAAUGGACGAAAGUCUGAACAAGCGACGCCGCGUGCGGGAUGAAAGGCUUCGGGUUGUAAACCGCUGUCGUAAGGGAGCAAAUCCAUGGGGGUACUCCCCCCUGGUUGAGUGGAUCUUAGGAGGAAGGACGGGCUAAGUUCGUGCCAGCAGCCGCGGUAAUAC